rnacentral:lncRNA from 10 species
CAGAAGGAAACUGUAACUGCAAAGAAGAAACUGUAGCAGAAAACAGCUUGGCCAGGGACAGAAAGAGCCAUGAACAACAGCUGGCCAGAAAACCGAAGGAAUAAAAUAAGUGUCCAGUGAAAAUGAAAAAAAAAAAAGUUAUUGGGUCCGAUGCUACACAAAGAAUGAGAACCAGAUCCACGCACGCAAGCUCCCCACACACACAUCUGGCACCCUCUUACGGAUGCUG